rnacentral:rRNA from 1 species
UACGUAGGGUGCAAGCGUUGUCCGGAAUUAUUGGGCGUAAAGAGCUCGUAGGCGGUUUGUUGCGUCGGCUGUGAAAUCCCCAGGCUCAACCUGGGAACUGCGUCUGAUACUGGAUGGCUUGAAUUCGGGAGAGGGAUGCAGAAUUCCAGGUGUAGCGGUGAAAUGCGUAGAUAUCUGGAGGAAUACCGGUGGCGAAGGCGGCAUCCUGGACCGACAUUGACGCUGAGGAGCGAAAGCUAGGGGAGCAAACGGG